GGAAGCUGGGGCUGGCGCGGCUGCGCCCGAGCCCUACGGGACUCCGGAAAGCGGGUCCGAACGCCGGCCCGGCAGUCCCGCCGCUGCGGGGAGUGAGGUUGUUGAAUUCAUUGGAGAGUAAAUGCUGUCCAGAAUUUGGAACCCGGAAAUGGACCCUGGGCGUGAGAAGCACCCCCUGCGUGAGAAGAACCCCCCAUCCUGCAGGGAAAACCGGACUGGUGGCCUGAUAAGAAAGGCAGCAAUUUGUGACAAAUGCCUUGAAUGAUGUGAAAAGAUGGCGCCCCGAGUCAGAAGAGGUACUCAAAGGACCUCGCACCUGGACAUUCCAACAGGACGACAGGAAUAGAAGCUAAAUGACCUCAUUUAUUAUGUCACUUUUCCUGAGUUAGCAUGUAAAAUGUCAUCUCAUUUUUACAGAAAAUUCACGUGAAGGCCAAUGUGACCUUCAUAUGAAUUUCAUCCUUGGUGGUUCUAUAGGUUGCAAAAUUCCUCAAUGGCAGAGUGAACAGUGCCUUGGAUUAAAAAAAGAAGAAGAAAAUCAGCCAAGAGACAUUCUGCUGUUUUAGUGACAACUGCAAGUAUCUGAGAUCAGAACAAAGCUCCCUAAAUUUAAGGAUGAUUUUACUGUAAACUACCAAUUAAAUAUAUAAUUAUG